CUGGGGCGCUCAAUUCCAUAGUAGAAUUUAUUUCUAGGCUGCAAAAGGACAGUCACCUUUCUAAGAAGGCUUAGAGAAGCAAGUAUCCCUCAGGCUUCCCUAGAGUUGAAGUUAGGGACUGGUUAAGCAGAUAGCACGUAAUACAUUCAUUCCAACAUGUUCUAGGCCUUCAGGCAACUUUCCUGUUCAGUGUGCCUUGCAAAUUCCAGCAUCUCAAUUUCAUUGACUGUAGGUCUGCCUUCAAUUCUUCAUCCAAGCAAACUAUUACUAUUUACUUUCAGUGUGUUUAAACCAACACAAAUCCUGGCUGCUGAGAGGGCUACUCCUGGUAUCAAUCACUCUUUUAGUCAGAAAACAGAUGGCACGCCCUAAUGGGGUAAUUAAGGAAAGAUUAAUGUGGACACCAUUUUCGAACUUUCUGUGUCCCAAUAAUCAUCAUAAAAGAAAGAAGAUUCUACUACAGCUACAAAAUUCAGCCUUUGGGGUGCUGCUUUGUUGGAGGUUAUACCAAGAUACUCAAUCCCUGGAAGGAUCCCUAAAGACAGAAAGCAAGAUGGCUUUCAGUUUUUUCUAA
rnacentral:lncRNA from 1 species